rnacentral:lncRNA from 1 species
UGGGUUCCAGGCAUAACUUCUUGGUAUUGUAUUUGCCUGGCUUGAAGGCAAAGCUGUCAACACCACCAUCAAUUGUUGGGCACUGGUUAGCAGUCCCAGUUCCCUUCACUUCUAGGUAUGUCUUGCUUUGAAUUUCAUCGUAGGUCAGCCGUUUUGGAGCUCCUUCAGCAUUUGCUCCCUGUAAGACCAACAAGGGUAUUUUAAAACUUUCCCCAUUGCAAUGAAAAUAUAUUCGUUGCCGUCUGCCUAAAUCAUAAUGUUUUGCAUUAUAAUAUUUUUUAAGUCAGACUUCACUAAAAUUUUCGGAAGAAACAUGGUGUUGACAGGCUUAUUACUGAUUGAAAUAAGCCAGAGAUCCAAUAGAAUUUGCUUGAGGCCCCCAUUACCAAAAUGUUCUCUCUUCUUGUAGUAUUCUAGAUCAUAAGCACAAUAGAAAAACUUUUACCUGGUUUUGAUUUGUUAAAUUAUCAGAUGUCCAAUGGAAUACAGUUCUUCUUUGGUCGAGAGUACACAAUUGAUAUUACGUGCAUCUAUCUUAUAAAUGGAGUAUACAAUACAAUAGACAUUACAAGGUCACCUCAUCAAACAUGCCAUUAAUGUGUUAGAAUGAUCUUUAUAAAGGUACAGAUAUAAGAAUCUCGGAGAGAGACUAAAAGUUACAUACCGAGACAACGAGUGCAGAAGUCGCUAGAGCAAAACCAGCAAUCUUGGCAGCAUCAGUGCACUUUUGAGCAAAGUCCUUUAGAUCAGCUUGAAGAGAGCAGGUGACCCUCGAUCCAGCCGGUUCAACACCGAAGGCCUUGCCGAGGCUUUGAACAGAUCUCAACUGUAGGCUAUUUCUGGCUGAGACACCAAUCUUGGUUGGUUGCAUCAGAGUAGCAGCUGCUUGUAAUG